GUUUAACUCUAUACUUGAACUAUAUUGUAUGUAUAGAAAAGUCCAGUUGUCAAGUGACAAUGGUCACAGCUGUGUAACUGCCACUCAGACUAAGACGUCACUUCAGAAGCUCUCCCAAGAUCCAUGCUUCCUUUUAACAAGGACCCAAACUCUUAGUUAUUUACCAAACCAUCAGUAAUAUCCCAGGAGAAAGAACGAUAUAUUCCUUAAGGAUUUCUCAUGGAACUGUGGCUCACUGUGUUUAGGAAGGAAUCUUGUCUGACCACGUCGAGAACGAGGUACCCACAGGUUCCCACCAUCUUCUGGGUGGGAACCAACGUUCAGCACCCACGUCAGGUCCGUCAAGUCCGUUGGGUCCGUCGGGUCCGUCGGGUCCCUUAGGUCCGUCAGGUCCGUCAAGUCUGUCAAGUCCGUCAAGUCCGUGGUUGGAGUUUCUGCAUCUACUUUAGGUCGCCCGGAGCUUCUGUGCCCAGAGCUUGAGACUUGUUUCAGUGACUUUCUUGGGUUUCAUUUUCUUUCAGACAAAAUACUACAGUUAGGCCCUUCUCUAUCUAGAAGGAGAAACUGACAGAGUUCUCUGCCUCUUGAGAAGGCAGUUUCUCACCACACAAAGCCCCUGCCAGUUCUUACACUUUUCUGUAAUGGAUAGCUGAUCCCCCCACCCCCGCCCCCAUCACCUGACACAGGGAGUUGCUAGACCACAGAGUGUAUUUCCGGGCCUCGCUGUAGAACCAAUUAAAGCUCCCAUCUGCACUGGUCCAUCCGGACAGGACAACUUCGCCUGCUGAGGCUGUAAACCCAAAGAAAGGACAAGUGGGGAGGAAGAGGAAGCCAACUUCGCAACCCAGAAAAUCGCAAGAGGCUCUGUUUUCUUUCCACUUGAAAACUUCUUAUUAAAAAUCACUUGUUAGACUUCUCUAA